rnacentral:lncRNA from 1 species
UUGUUCGUGUAAGCCAAAGAUACAGAACAGUGACUUUCUAUUCUGCACCACAAAAGUCGACUCAUAGGGUUGACCCCUGUGCAGGGGACGACCCUAUGAGUUGACCCCUGUGAUAAAAAAUUUUCAUAACGACUAGUUUUUUAGCUCAUUUUGAUCACAUUUAUUGUUCAUUUAAUGUACUCCAAUGGUUUUAAUCCUGCCUAGAUUACUCUCCACCAUCUAUUGAUGAUAAAAAGGCACUAAAAGGAGGGAAAAAUAAGAGAUUGAAGCAUUCAUUUUCAGCCC